GCUCCGCUCCGCCCGGCACCGGCGGGCGCCCGGGACGGCAAAGCGCCGCACUUACCGUGCUGCUCCGCUCCGCUCCGCCGGGGAAGGGGCGAGGGGACCCCGGGAGGCGGAGGGAGGGGCCGGAAAGCUGCGGCGGGGCUGCCCCUCUCGCCCGGGAGCGGAGCCGCUCCGCAGCGCGGCCAGCCGCAGCCCGGAGAGCCCGCGGAGCGAGGCUGGGCAGCCCGAAACAACGAGGGAGGCUGUUUUGUAACGCUCACCUGAGGAGAAAGGAGGAGGCAGCAGGAGAUCCCAUUAAAGACCGAAGUUAAAUGCCUAUCUCACCACUCGUGCAGCAGCAUUCCCAGUGCCCUUGCUGUACCCAGAGGUGAACGUACUGAAGUGUGGGACACGAGGAGGAAACAAACAUGGACACAGCAUUAGUUGGUGAACCUUUAGGUGGGAGAAGAUGCAGAGAAUUUGUGCUCAGGGUCUCAGGCUGAAGCCUUAACUGGAAGAUGUAGCCCUACGCUGUGGUCCAUCCUUAGGCACUGCCAUCACUCCAUCUUCCUGAGCAAACAUAUGGCACAGAAAUAAUUAUUUUUUCUAACAUCAUCUGAUCCUUUCAAAUAUUCUGCUUUGUAUUCAAGUGGCACUGAAGAGCUAAUACACCCAGGGCUUAAUAAAAUGAAGCUAAAAGGAAAUAUCCAUCAUCUCUGAAUGAAAGAAAGCUAACAAAAGACAAUGUUCAGGGACCUAAAGGGUAAGGCAGGCCGUGUGAAUCCACGCAGGAUACAGAGCAGCCAUCGCCAUGGGUGGGAUUAGCACAUACCCACUUAGGGACUAGCUUUGGAAAGCCGAGCUAGCUCUUUGGAAGUCUGACUCAGGGAGGAAAAAUGUUCUUUUGGACUUUCAUUUGUCCAUUUUUCAUAUCCUCAGCAAUCCUGCAGCUCUCUCUGCACGGGGCACCAAAGAGGAGAGAGCUGGUGUUGCAUUCUCCUUCCGUGAGACAGUCAGGAAAGGUGGACACAGAGAGAAGCCUCUAUAUAUGGCAUAGCUGGGCCUAGAGAACUUGACCCGAUAGCAAGCAAAUGGAGCUUUUCCAAAUGAAAGCUCCAAAGCAUAGGAAUUCCCUUCUCUGACAUGAGGUGCUAUGUUUCAGAAUCCCAGAGCUUACACACACACACACACAAAAAGCCACAAGCAAUAUUGUCCUAAUUACAGAUCAGUGGGGACCCCACCAGCAGCAUCUUCUACUCCUUUUAUCCUGCCACUGUACAUUGCAGGAACUAUUUUGCCACACCUGUUCCAUGACUAUCUCUUCCACACAGCUAUAGCAUUCCCACUGUAAAGCAGCGCUACUCUGAAUAACCACAGAGCAGGGCUGAAGAACUGUCAAGUGUGGGCAGACUCAGACUGAAAUAUUUUCUCAUAUGUUCUCAUCCAACCACAGUUUUUUUUUAGAGUUCAGAAAGAUGUCAUAAAGCAACAGAAAAACAAUGCCUACUUGGCCUAAGUCAGCCAUUCAGCAGCAUGCCUUUUAUUGCAACAUGCAGUUGGGAAACUCUAGAAAUGUAUAGGUCACACAGGAAUAGCUUUAAGCAGACGUGGCUGCUUUGAAAUAUCAGUGCAUCAGUAUUCCAACACAUUUCAAAGCAGAAGAAAACUGUGCCAUUUUAAGACCAGCCCAAUCCGAACAAAUCCAAUGUAUGUCUGCUCUGAACAUCCCAGUGGAAAAAGUCUCAUACUGGUGUGGAAAUUUUUAUCACCGAGGCUCGCCGAGUCUUGCCAUGACCUGCAUGGUUGAACUCUUACAGAGGAAAGCUAAAGAAAAGGCUUACGGGAGGAUUCCCACUGUACUGGGUGAACACGGUGUGAGAAUUGUUUACUCUUACAGUUUAUCAUAAGCUGCUUUUUCUAUAGCUGUUUGGCCAAACUCUUCACUCUCUUACACUCAUUCAGUGCCUUUGGAGGAAGCUGCACAUGUGAAACGGAACAAUGAAGCGUAAUUCUUUGAAUGAGGAGCAAAUGUGCCCUACUGUGACAUGCUGUUAAUUUAAUGUACUGAUAGACCAAGAGCACUUACAAGCAGCGUUCAGGAAGACAUUCGUUCACAUUAAUGCGAGUAUCUAAAAGUUGUACAUAAACCAAACAAAAAAAUGGCUCUUCAGUGAAAAUGGCAAGAAAACAACCUUUGUCUUGGAACUUGACUUGAAGCUAUUCUUUGAUCUGAGGCUUCCUCACCAUCAAUUCGUCCACAAAAGAAGCCAUGGCUCUCAUAACAGACAUGACUAGAGCCACUGCUAACAGUUUUUCAGAAGAAAGCAUGUCUGCAGCUACUGUGCCAGUGUGCACAGCCCCUCUCUGAGGGAGCACCUGCAAACAUCACCUGGUCUGUGAACUUUUGGAUGACGAAUGCUACAGGGACAAAACCUCUAUUGAGAUCAGUCUCUUCCUUUUCCCCGUGACCACAGAGGCAGGUGACUUCCAGGGCUCACUGCCUUCAUUAUCAUCAUGUAUAAUAAAGUUCCCAAGAAACCUUGGGUGAGUGCAUCA